GAUGAACGCUGGCGGCGUGCUUAACACAUGCAAGUCGAACGAUUAAAGCCCCUUCGGGGGUGUAUAGAGUGGCGAACGGGUGAGUAACACGUGGGCAAUCUGCCCCUCACACUGGGAUAACUCAGGGAAACUUGAGCUAAUACCGGAUACUCCGGGACGAUCGCAUGGUCGACCCGGGAAAGCUCCGGCGGUGGGGGAUGAGCCCGCGGCCCAUUAGCUAGUUGGUGAGGUAAAGGCUCACCAAGGCGACGAUCAGUAGCUGGUCUUAGAGGAUGAUCAGCCACACUGGGACUGAGACACGGCCCAGACUCCUACGGGAGGCAGCAGUGGGGAAUUUUGGACAAUGGGGGCAAACCUGAUCCAGCCAUGCCGCGUGCGGGAAGAAGGCCUUCGGGUUGUAAACCGCUUUAGUCUAGGAAAAAGGAAUGCAGGAUUAAUACCCUUGUGUUUUGAUGGUACUGGAAGAAUAAGCACCGGCUAACUACGUGCCAGCCGCCGCGGUAACAC
rnacentral:rRNA from 1 species